rnacentral:snoRNA from 1 species
AACCCAUGGUGAGGGCACCUUCUUAAUAGAUCUUGUAUCUCUCCCAUGCAUCAUGGAGUGUUUCAAGGUCCAUCUGCACAAAAGAAAAGAUGUCAUUCCUCAACUU